AUGAUAAAUUAUUCAACUGCAAUCGGUUUCGUAAAUAGCCAAAAAGGAGCCAACGGAUGCGGAUGCGGAUGUGGCGACGAGUGCGGAUGCGAGUGCGGAUCCUGUGAGGGAAAUAUUGCAAAAACCACAGCGCGAAUAUCUGAGCCAUCUGAACCAACAGCAUCUGAGAAUGUUGCCUUCAUUGGCGGCAGUGGCAACAGUCAAUUAUCUGCAGUAAUUGAGAAUUUAUCCCAUAACAGCGACGUUGCAGCCGCAUUGUCCUUUCACCCAGCAGCGUCGCCAUCAUCAUUAUCAUUAUCACCAGAAGCAGCAGCAGCAGCAUCAGCCUUAACAUUAUUUGCUGGAGGAGCAGGAGCAGCAGCAGGAUCCUCCUCGACAACAACGCACCGCUCCACGCAUAAAUCCUAUCCGCCAAUAAAUUCAGCAUAUUGGCUGCCAUCGUCGCAUCCAUCACCGUAUGCGGUGCCAGAACGCAAACUGUUUGUGGGUAUGCUAAACAAGAAGCUGAACGAGAACGACGUUCGCAAGCUAUUUGAAGUCCACGGAGCCAUCGAGGAGUGCACCGUUCUUCGGGACCAGAACGGACAGAGCAAGGGUUGUGCCUUCGUCACAUUCGCCACCAAACACGCUGCCAUUUCGGCCAUUAAAGUGACCCUGAGCCAGAACAAGAUCAUGGAGGGCUGCACAUCGCCGCUGGUCGUCAAGUUCGCCGACACGCAAAAGGAGAAGGAGCAGAAGAAGAUCCAGCAGAUUCAGGCCAACCUCUGGAACCUGGCCAGCAACAUCAACAUCCCGCUGGGCCAAACGGCCACCAGCGUGACCACGCCCAUCCUGCCCAAUCCGCCCCAGCAGCCUUCGCCGGUGCUCGGCGCCGAUGCCAUCACCCCGGCCUCCAUCCAACUGCUGCAGCAACUGCAGGCGGUUGGGCUGCAGCAGCAGUUGCUGCAAGCCCUCACAGGACUGGGAGCCCAGCAGAGCAGCUCGGCGACGGACACCAGCGCAGUUGCGGCCGCAGGACUUCUGACCCCGAUGACCGUCCAGAAUCUGGCGGCCAUUGCGGCCAUGACGCAGCCGAGUCUCUCGAAUGCCGCCGCGGCAGCAGCCGCUGCCUCAUCGCCUGGAAGCGCCCAACUGACCAACACGGCUGCGCUGCUCUGGUCCGAUCCGAAUCCCCUGGCAUCGGCUUAUAUGUCAACAGCCGCCGGUCUGCCGCAAUUCGGGAGCGCCAGUGCAUUGUCCACUUCGCCGCUGGCCAGCGUUGCCCUCAGCGCCGCAGCCGCCGCCGCGGCGGGAAAGCAGAUUGAAGGACCCGAGGGCUGCAACCUUUUCAUCUACCAUCUGCCGCAGGAGUUCACCGAUACGGAUCUGGCCUCCACGUUCCUGCCCUUCGGCAAUGUGAUCUCGGCCAAGGUGUUCAUCGACAAGCAGACCAGCCUGUCGAAGUGCUUCGGCUUCGUCUCGUUCGACAACCCGGACUCGGCCCAGGUGGCCAUAAAGGCGAUGAACGGCUUCCAGGUGGGCACCAAGCGCCUCAAGGUGCAGCUGAAGAAGCCCAAGGACUCGAAGCCCUACUAGAGGCCACCAUCGGCAGCGAGGACACAUCCCCGGACACAUCGAGUAGAGAGGAAUACUGAGAUUUGUGAAAUAUGGAGUAGUCAAUGAAUGAAGAGUUGCCCGUGUAGAGCGCGCGUUGCAAGAGUAAACGAUGAUGCGAAUGCCAACGUUAUGGUAUGUUGUUUGCAAAGUUUCGCCACUUAUUUAAUUUUUGGAAAGGCAAUGUCAGGUGGUAGUUGAUGCAAGCCGCCAGUUGAAAGUUGAAUGCGAGUCGUUUUUACAAGACGCGUUGGUCCUUGAAAUAUGUAAAUAAUACCCGCUUGAGUCUCGAGAAUCCUAGAAGAGAUUGCCUAUUCCACUGCUGUCGCAAAAAAAAUUUCCAAGAACUGUAAAUUUAAAUACCACAAAAAUAAUGGAAAAUCUGUAAAAACCAAAAAAACUAAUAUGCAAUCAUGUUGUACGAUAGCCAAGAAAGCCAUUUUAUAAGCUUGUAAAGCAAACUAAUUUUAACAAAGUAAAUUUAUGAGAAUACGGAAUAAUA
rnacentral:misc_RNA from 1 species